ACGGAGACAUGUCACGGGGAGCAGGGUUGGGGGCAGCUUAGGUGAGAGGAUGUGAAUGGAAGUCAUUCCAGCUGCAGCUCUAAGCUUGCCACCCCUCACUCAAGCAUUUCAGCAGCAGCUCCUGGUGUGGGUUCCCCUGGUCCAACAGCAACUACAGCCCCUUCUAGGAGAAACUCUAACUCCUCCCACUGCAGCUGUGGCUCAUUCUGCAGCUCUUGGUGAAGGCCACGGGUAGCACUGCCCCUUCAUGGUUCUGUUUGUACUGGGGCUCAGGCCAUUCCUGCACUUGGCUUUGAAGGCCCUGCAGCCCCUCCAGAUGUUGCUCCAGGAGAAGGACCUGCAGCAGCUUUAGUGAUGCUUCCAGGGCAUAGACUUGGUACUUCUCCUCUCACCUUUCCAGCGGGCCCUGCACAGCCUGCCUUAGUGCCUCCGUCACCUGAGCCAGGGGUUGAUGCUGGGAUGGAAGAAUAGUCCAGGUCCCAGCCAGACGUCCAACGGUGGCGUCCACGAGGCGAUACAGCUGCUGCUUAAUCCUGGCCACAUUUCCUUCAGGAGUGCUGGAAAGCGUGUCAAGCUGCUCAGAGUCACUCAGGCUCCUACUCAUAGGCUUUGGCAGCGGCCUGGCUCCAUGGCAUCUUGUGCCCUUGCUCCGCCAACUGUGGACACCCGAAGAAGGGACAUCCUACUCUCCCAGGAAAGACCACGAUGUCAGACGUAAAGGACAUAGGGCACCUGGAAUUAGAACAACCAUCUUGCCUCUAUGAGAACAAAAGCUGAACACUGAGGAUGGAAGAGCAGGAAGUUAGAUGGAGCCUGGUGCUAUAUGACUUUCUCGAGCAUUUGCACUAGCCCUGGACUGCCUUCCUCUAGACGUCUUGUUACAAGAAAAAUAAACUUCCAUUGGA